ACGGAAGGCAGCAGUGGGGAAUAUUGGGCAAUGGGCGAAAGCCUGACCCAGCAACGCCGCGUGAAGGAAGAAGAUUUUCGGAUUGUAAACUUCUUUUAUGAGGGACGAAGGACGUGACGGUACCUCAUGAAUAAGCCACGGCUAACUACGUGCCAGCAGCCGCGGUAAUACGUAGGUGGCGAGCGUUAUCCGGAUUUACUGGGUGUAAAGGGUGUGUAGGCGGGACAGCAAGUCAGAUGUGAAAAUUAUGGGCUUAACUCAUAACUUGCAUUUGAAACUGUAGUUCUUGAGGGUCGGAGAGGUAACCGGAAUUCCUGGUGUAGCGGUGAAAUGCGUAGAUAUCAGGAGGAACACCGGUGGCGAAGGCGGGUUACUGGACGAUUACUGACGCUGAGACACGAAAGCGUGGGGAGCAAACAGGAUUAGAUACCCUGGUA
rnacentral:rRNA from 1 species